UAUCUUAUUUCCACUUAUUCCACUAAACUCUCUAAAUUCUCAAAACAGCCCCUCAUCUCAAUAUUAUUUUAUUUUCAAAUCUUAUUCUAUUAAAUAAUAUAAUAACACCACUAAAUAAAAUAACAACACACCACAUAAUCAUUUAAAUCACAUAAAUCAUAUAAAUAUACUCUAAACUCAAUAAAAUAAUCUAAUAAAUAAAUAGGGCGUUACACC
rnacentral:lncRNA from 1 species